rnacentral:rRNA from 1 species
AGCGGCGGACGGGUGAAGUAACGCGUGGUAACCUGCCUCAUACAGGGGGAUAACAGUUAGAAAUGACUGCUAAUACCGCAUAAGCGCACAGGACCGCAUGGUCCGGUGUGAAAAACUCCGGUGGUAUGAGAUGGACCCGCGUCUGAUUAGUUAGUUGGCGGGGUAACGGCCCACCAAGGCGACGAUCAGUAGCCGGCCUGAGAGGGUGAACGGCCACAUUGGGACUGAGACACGGCCCAGACUCCUACGGAAGGCAGCAG